rnacentral:rRNA from 1 species
CGGUGUAGGGGUGAAAUCCGUUGAUAUCGUGCGGAACACCAAAGGCGAAGGCAUUCUACUGGGACGUUCCUGACCCUGAGGCGCGAAAGCGUGGGGAGCAAAAAGGAUUAAGUGUUUUUGUUUUAUAUUCACAAAUAAUUCUUCGUUUGUUAUAAACCGGAAUAAUUUUUAUUUUUCGUUUUCACGAAAAAUAUUGAACUCAACCCCUCGACGAGCUCGGGGGAUUCAAACAGCAAUAUUUUUCUAACUUCAAAUAAAAAUUAUUACGCGAUUUAUGAAACAAAUUCAGAAAAUAUUUGUUCAAUAAAACAAAAACCCACCUGAGGGUAGGUGGAAAAUAGUCCCUCCGCCGAUUGGCGGAGAUAACUCAGCUAUAUGCUGGAACACCCGAGUAUCCAACGAUACCGAAAGGUAAAAAUGCGUUGGUGCGGGCAAUCAGCAGGGAAGUCGUAAUUGACCCCUCAGAGACUAUACGCAGAGCCCGUUGCGGAGCAACGGAAUUACGAAUUUAGAAUUUCGAAUUUUGGUUGAGCAUCCAAUUAAAAAUUUGAAAUUAAAAAUUAGGAAUUCCGCGCUUUGCGCGGUGAAGAUAUAGUCCGACCUCCGUGGCGACACGGAGAGAUGAACAGAAAUGAUUCAUCCCGCGACAAUGUUUGUAAUUUUGAUUUUGAAUUUGUUUUAAAAUUUGAAAUUAAAAAUUAAAAAUUGCACUUUGUCGCGAAGCAACAAACGUGUAGAUACCCUUGUAGUCCACGCCCUAAACGAUGUUCACUAGCUGUUUCGAGUAUCGACCCUCGGGGUGGCGUAGCUAACGCGUUAAGUGAACCGCCUGGGAAGUACGAGCGCAAGCUUAAAACUCAAAGGAAUAGACGGGGACUCGCACAAGCGGUGUGGUAUGUGGUUUAAUUCGAUGGUAAACGAGAAACCUCACCAGGGCUUGAAAUCCCGACGAAGACAGUCCGAAAGGAUUGUUGUCCGCAAGGACGGCGGGACAGGUGCUGCAUGGUUGCCGUCAGCUCGUGCCGUGAGGCGUUCCCUUAAGUGGGGUAACGAGCGCAACCCCUAUCCGGUGUUACAAGUGUCACCGGAAACCGCCCCCUCUUUUGCAUCCGACGUUUUGUAUGUCGGAAUCAAAAGAGGGGGAGGAAGGCGGGGAUGACGUCAAAUCAGCAUGGCCCUUUGAUGCCCUGGGCUACACACAUGCUACAAUGGCGGAUACAAUGGGAAGCCAAGCCGUAAGGCGGAGCUAAUCCCAUCAAAGUCCGCCCCAGUUCGGAUUGAGGGCUGCAACUCGCCCUCAUGAAGCCGGAAUCGCUAGUAAUCGCGGAUCAGAACGCCGCGGUGAAUACGUUCUCGAGUCCUGUACUCACCGCCCGUCAAACCAAGGGAGCCGGGAGUGGGUGAAGCCCCCUCUUUAGAGGGUGUUAGCUCAAGUUCGGUGACACGGGUUAAGUCGUAACAAGGCACGGGUAGCGGAAGCUGUUCGUG